GGAGGGGGAUAACUACUGGAAACGGUGGCUAAUACCGCAUAACGUCGCAAGACCAAAGAGGGGGACCUUCGGGCCUCUUGCCAUCAGAUGUGCCCAGAUGGGAUUAGCUUGUUGGUGAGGUAACGGCUCACCAAGGCGACGAUCCCUAGCUGGUCUGAGAGGAUGACCAGCCACACUGGAACUGAGACACGGUCCAGACUCCUACGGGAGGCAGCAGUGGGGAAUAUUGCACAAUGGGCGCAAGCCUGAUGCAGCCAUGCCGCGUGUAUGAAGAAGGCCUUCGGGUUGUAAAGUACUU
rnacentral:rRNA from 1 species